rnacentral:rRNA from 1 species
UACAGGGGGUGCAAACGUUGCUCGGAAUUACUGGGCGUAAAGGGCGCGUAGGCGGCCUGUUAAGUCGAACGUGAAAUCCCCGGGCUCAACCCGGGAACUGCGUCCGAUACUGGCAGGCUUGAAUUCGGGAGAGGGAUGUGGAAUUCCAGGUGUAGCGGUGAAAUUCGUAGAUAUCUGGAGGAACACCGGUGGCGAAGGCGGCGUUCUGGACUGCAACUGACACUGAGAAACGAAAGCCAGGGGAGCAAACGGG